rnacentral:rRNA from 1 species
AUUGAACGCUGGCGGAAUGCUUUACACAUGCAAGUCGAACGGCAGCACGGACUUCGGUCUGGUGGCGAGUGGCGAACGGGUGAGUAAUGUACCGGUACGUGCCCAGUCGUGGGGGAUAACGUAGUGAAAAUUACGCUAAUACCGCAUACGAUCUAUGGAUGAAAGCGGGGGAUCGCAAGACCUCGCGCGAUUGGAGCGGCCGAUAUCAGAUUAGGUAGUUGGUGGGGUAAAGGCCCACCAAGCCAACGAUCUGUAGCUGGUCUGAGAGGACGAACAGCCACACUGGAACUGAGACACGGUCCAGACUCCUACGGGAGGCAGCAGUGGGGAAUUUUGGACAAUGGGCGAAAGCCUGAUCCAGCCAUUCCGCGUGCAGGACGAAGGCCCUCGGGUUGUAAACUGCUUUUGUACAGAACGAAAAGGUUUCUACUAAUACUAGGAGCUCAUGACGGUACUGUAAGAAUAAGCACCGGCUAACUACGUGCCAGCCGCCGCAGUAA